UCUUUUUUAAAUUUCAGAUCUAUAGCUCUGUAACUGCGAAAUUAUUGUGUUUGAUGAAGAAUGAGAAAUCAGUUCUAUAGCUGAUGGUGAUCGGUGAUCAGCUCAAGAGUAGAGUGGAGCCUGCAAAAUAUAUAUGAACUGUAAAAGUUGAUCAGGCAAUAGGCAACAAGCUUCGAGAUGGUGAUGAAAGAGAAAGAUGAAGAGCUCGCGCUUUUUCUUGAGAUGCGGAGAAGGGAGAAGGAGAAGGAGAGAAAUAAUCUCCUUCUAAACAACUCCUCUGAUGGGCAUAAUGCCUCUUUAGGAACCAAUAAUCCUAGGGGUUCACCAAUAUCGAAAGUAAUUUCCUCUGUGCCACCCCGAAAGACUGCUGCUGAUAAAUUUUUGGAUUCAGAGAACGACAAAUCUGAUUAUGAUUGGCUUCUUACACCACCUGAGACCCCACUUUUUCCUUCCUUGGAGAUGGAAUCGCAGAAAACUCUAAUGAAUCAAAAUGGGAUGUCAAAUGCUCGUCCCACUGCUCUGACGUCAAGGCUGACAAAUAUCCAGGAAGAACCUGCUUCAAAGACUAAUGUGGCAUCAAAGCGUACAACUUUGCAUUCUGGAUUAAACUCAUCAAAUACCAGUAACAGAAGGCCUUCCUCAUCUGGGGGACCAGCAGCUGCUACUAGACCUGCUACACCAACCAGGCGGCUCACUUUACCUACAACUGCUAAGCCUUCAAGAGCUUCCACUCCUACUUCACGGGCCACCUUGCCUUCCACUAAGUCUUCUGGUCCUCCAGUGAGAUCCUCAACUCCUACUAGAACCUCUACUCGCUCUUCAACACCAACCGCCAGACCCUC
rnacentral:misc_RNA from 1 species